rnacentral:rRNA from 1 species
GAUGAACGCUGGCGGCGUGCCUAACACAUGCAAGUCGAACGUGAAGGGGGAGUAAUCUCCUGGAAAGUGGCGAACGGGUGAGUAACACGUAGGUAACCUGCCGCGCAGAGGGGGAUAACCAGUGGAAACGCUGGCUAAGACCGCAUGGUCCUCAGGGGACGGGAGUCUCGUGGGGUAAAGCCUUGGCGCUGCGCGAGGGGCCUGCGUCCGAUUAGCUGGUUGGUGAGGUAACGGCUCACCAAGGCGAUGAUCGGUAGCUGGUCUGAGAGGAUGAUCAGCCACACGGGAACUGAGACACGGUCCCGACUCCUACGGGAGGCAG